rnacentral:lncRNA from 1 species
UUAUUGGGUCUGGAAUCAAAAGAUCUGUAAUGGAUUUCCAACUUCAAUCAUUACUACCAAAGCCAUAACUAAGGAUAAACAUCUAAGAUCCUUCAAUGAAGCCUCAUAUAGCACUGUCUCCCUGCUCCUAAAUGUUUCACCACUUUGGAUUACCCAACUCAUUGCUAAAUCUUAUCCUGAGAUUCUCAGUGGCAGAGAUGGCAUUGAUCAAGAUCAUGAUCAUGAUCAGGGGAUAUAACUACAGAUGGGAGAUCCGUUAACAGGAUGCCAAAUUUGGAGAAGGUUCAGAGGGGAAACCAGAUGACUACAAACCUGG